rfam:Stegodyphus mimosarum contig10166, whole genome shotgun sequence.
AUAUAUGAGUAGUGGAUCACUCGGCUCACGGGUCGAUGAAGAACGCAGCCAGCUGCGAGACUUGGUGUGAAUUGCAGGAUACAUUGAGUCAACUUCUUUUUAAAUGCAUUUUAAUCUGUGCGGAU